GGCUGAAAGAGCUGGGGCUCCGCGAGGAAAACGAGGGCGUGUAUAAUGGCAGCUGGGGAGGCCGGGGAGAGGUUAUUACGACCUAUUGCCCUGCUAACAACGAGCCAAUAGCAAGAGUCCGACAGGCCAGUGUGGCAGACUAUGAAGAAACUGUAAAGAAAGCAAGAGAAGCAUGGAAAAUCUGGGCAGAUAUUCCUGCUCCAAAACGAGGAGAAAUAGUAAGACAGAUUGGCGAUGCCUUGCGGGAGAAGAUCCAAGUACUAGGAAGCUUGGUGUCUUUGGAGAUGGGGAAAAUCUUAGUGGAAGGUGUGGGUGAAGUUCAGGAGUAUGUGGAUAUCUGUGACUAUGCUGUUGGUUUAUCAAGGAUGAUUGGAGGACCUAUCUUGCCUUCUGAAAGAUCUUGCUGUGUUGUUCAGGCUGGUCUCAAACUUCUGUCCUCAAGUGAUCCUCCCCUUCAGCCUCCCGAGUAGCUGGGAUUAUAGGCAUGAGCCACCUUCCUAGGCCCUUGUGUAUCUUUUUAGAGCACGUACAGCCAAAUAUGUAGCAAACUAUACAUUUUUUUUUUUUGAGAUGGAGUCUCGCUCUGUUGCCCAGGCUGGAGUGCAGUGGCGCGAUCUUGGCUCACUGCAACCUCCACCUCCCGGGUUCAAGCGAUUCUUCUGCCUCAGACUCCCGAGUAGCUGGGAUUACAGGUGUGCGCCAUCACACCCGGCUAAUUUUUGUAUUUUUGGUAGAGAUGGGGUUUCACCAUCCUGGCCAGGCUGCUCUUGAACUCCUCACCUCAUGAUCCACCCACCUUGGCCUCCCAGAGUGCUGGGAUUACAGGCGUGAGCCACUGUGCCCGGCCGCAAACUGUACGUUCUGUUUUAUACUUUUAUAUUCAAUAAUAUAUCUUGGAAAUUGUUUUUUUGUUUUCUUUUUUUGAGACAGGAUUUUACUGUCUUGCCCAGGCCAGAAUGUAGUGGCAUGAUCACAGUUCACUGCAGCCUCAACAUCCCCGGGAUCAGGUGAUCCUCCUACCUCAGCUAGGACUGUAGGUGCAUGCCAUCAUACCUGGCUAUUUUUUUUUUUUUUUUUUUUUUUUUUUUUGUAGAGGUGGGAUUUUGCAGUGUUGCCCAGGCUGGUCUCGAACUCCGGGGCUCAGGUGAUCUGCCUGUCUCAACCUCCCAAAGUGUUAGGAUUGCAGGCGUGAGCCACUGUGUCAGGCUGGAAAUUGUUUUCGCAUUAUUCUAUUAAGGGGCUUCCUUCAUCUGUGUUUGCAGCUGUCUAUUUUGUUAUAAAGAGACUAUAAUUUAUUUAGUCAGCUUCCAAAUGAUGUAUAUGUAGGGCUGUUUUCAGUGUUUUUCUAUUACAAGCUGUUCUGUAAGAACCAA
rnacentral:sRNA from 1 species